AUUUCACCUGCAUUUUGUCUGAAAAAAGUCUCUCGGUACUACCUCGUUUUUCCUCUUUUUUUUAGAGACGUCCGAACCUACUACACACCUUGAGUCUCUAAUUUAUCUAACAUAGAUACCUACUACACACCUUGAGUCUCUAAUUUAUCUUACAUAGAUACCUACUCCAUACCUUGAGUCUCUAAUUUAUCUACAUAGAUACCUACUACAUACCUUGAGUCUCUAAUUUAUCUACAUAGAUACCUACUACACACCUUGAGUCUCUAAUUUAUCUUACAUAGAUACCUACUACACACCUUGAGUCUCUAAUUUAUCUUACAUUUAUAUAAGAAGAUGAGGUAUGAUUGCCAAUGAGACAACUCUACAACUAAAUUUGUAAAAAGUAAACCAUAAACGGCCAAAGAACAGUCUUCACCACAGAGCCUUGGCUCACUCCAAAUAAUAUAUUACACUUUGAUUAGAACAACUUAAUUUGGUAUUUGUUUUAUGACUACUCCAAAUGUUCCUGAGACAAUUGUCAAGUUUGCCUUUAUUACAAAUUUGAUUGGUCCUAUUUAUGUUUUAGGUUUUCAAAGAAGUGACAGAGGAGGAACGGAAGAUUUUAAGGCAAUAUUCAGACAAACAGACAAAGUCAGAGCUAUAACCACACAAGAGGGCAAAUAAAUUUUAAUACACUCGUAGAUGUACGAUAUACAUACAACGACAAUAUUACUUGAAGCAUUGUCCUGAACAACAACAAAUGUAUCGUGAAGAGAUCAACAAUACUUCACACAUCAUUAUCUCUGAAAACGAUUGGACAAAACACCAUAUAAAAAAGGUGAAAGACUGAGCACCAUCUAUUCUUCCCCAAAAACGGAAACUCCGUAAGGGUAAUCAAAUUUAGCUCCACAUGUACUUUCUUAAUUCUUGCUCAUACAAAUUUGAGUUACAUUCAACAUAAAUGGGUGGACUAUUGAUUGAGAUUCAAACAAUGGCAAUAUAUCCUUCGUCAUUUGUGAACGGAUAUUCAAUAACAGUAAACAAAGUUGUGAACGCGUCACAUUCAUCAUUAAUCCUCCAUGAGGCGUCCAUUUUUUUCAUUACUUAGAGAAACGUAGAUUUGAAAAAGUCUUUCCAGUUUUGGCAUUAACCUUUAUUUCCACAUCACUGUGAUAAAUGAGACGUUAAAACUCCAAAACGGUGAUCGUGAGAUUAAACUGAACAAUUAAAGUUCUCAAAAGUUAAAUCAUUUAACUACGUUUUACAAGUCUAAUGCAAUUAUAACUUUAUAACGUUUGUUUAUAACUAACACAACCUUGUUAGGAUUAUAACGAAUAUAUUUCAAAUCCCGGUCCCAAGGUGAUUAAAUCAAAUUGCAUUUUCAAGUUCAUAGAAAAUUCUUCGUGAUUUUUACCACC
rnacentral:lncRNA from 1 species